GGCUCAGAACGAACGCUGGCGGCGCGCCUAAUACAUGCAAGUCGAGCGAGAAGGUGUAGCAAUACACUUGUAAAGCGGCGAACGGGUGAGGAAUACAUGGGUAAUCUACCAUCGAGUGGGGAAUAACCAGCCGAAAGGUUGGCUAAUACCGCGUACGCCUCCGGAUCUUCGGGUUCGGAGGGAAAGCCACACUGUGAGUGCGGCGCUCUUUGAUGAGCUCAUGUCCUAUCAGCUUGUUGGUAGGGUAACGGCCUACCAAGGCUUUGACGGGUAGCUGGUCUGAGAGGACGAUCAGCCACACUGGCACUGCGACACGGGCCAGACUCCUACGGGAGGCAGCAGUAAGGAAUAUUGCGCAAUGGACGAAAGUCUGACGCAGCGACGCCGCGUGGGGGAUGAAGGUCUUCGGAUUGUAAACCCCUUUCGGGAGGGAAGAUGGAGCGAGCAAUCGUUCGGACGGUACCUCCAGAAGCAGCCACGGCUAACUUCGUGCCAGCAGCCGCGGUAAUACGAAGGUGGCAAGCGUUGUUCGGAUUCACUGGGCGUACAGGGUGUGUAGGCGGUUUGGUAAGCCUUCUGUUAAAGCUUCGGGCCCAACCCGGAAAGCGCAGAGGGUACUGCCAGGCUAGAGGGUGGGAGAGGAGCGCGGAAUUCCCGGUGUAGCGGUGAAAUGCGUAGAGA
rnacentral:rRNA from 1 species